AAACUUCACGUGGCCGAGAGCCACAGCGUCUGUGGUGGCUUUCUCCUAGGGUAGGCCCUGGGGUCUGGAAAUGGCCCUGGCUGGGCUGGGAGAGGUGUCCAUAUGGGACAGGUACCCGUGUGGAAGAGGUGUCCUUGUGAGAGAGGUGUGCUUCUGAGAGAGCUGUCCUUGUACCAACCCCUCUGCACACCCAGACCUGCUGCAGGGCAGGAGCAGGCCCUGGUGAGGAGGCCUCACUUCCCACUUCCCCUGUGCUGUCCGUUCUGACCUGUGGGUAUGACCGGCCCAGAAAAGGUGGCAGAAAUUCAUGAAGAAAAGUGUUUAAGAAACAAGCAGAGCUGGAUCACAGCUUGUUUCCAAAGGAGGCUUCAGGCAUCUGAAUAGAGCUCCACGGUACUUCACCUGAGGAAGGAAAUCUGCUGCUGGUCCAGGGCCUCUGGGAAAGCAGCAUAUCUAAAGCCAUACGGUGUAAAAAGAUGGCUCAGGGCAGAGCCUUGGAUCCAAAUGGUGCAAAUCAGCAUGUGGCAACUCAGAGCAAGCAGUGCUACAAGGCACAGGUCUCUUACCAGGCUGAGACCAUCUCUGCUGAUUCUCUGGAGGUGGGAGCCAUCUAGCAGACAAGUAAUCAGGUCCAGGCUCUGCUCUUUGCCACUUUGUAAAGCAGAAGUAUUCCAGCCUUUCUAGCAGCAGCUGUCUUUCCUCUUUGGAAUCCUACCUGAUGUGUGUAAAAUUGGGUGUGGGCUUAGCAGAAAUCUGCAUGUGAAUCCCAUGUGUGUUGCUGUUUUGUCUCACAGAGUUAUUGGCGCAGGUUUUCAUGCCACUGAAAUGUACUUGUCAGGAGAGAGGUCCAUGUUUCUCUUCUGCAAAUACAUGGCCAUUCUGAUAACAGAAAGUGAGUCCGAGAUGUGAAAGGAAAGAGAUGUCUGAAGUGAAAGAGCAAUGCAAAUGCUGAGUUCACCCCACCAGAUUUUGAUGUCGGUCAGUCUCUCUCUGGAUAACUCAUCUGUGUUGUGCUGUCAUUAAAAUACUUGCUACUUAAC
rnacentral:lncRNA from 7 species